UGCAGCAGGACCUUUCUGAAUGGUGUACAUGUGGAAAUUGCGCCACAAUGCCUUCGGAACCUGAGAAUGUGUGCUGCAUUGAGAUACCACAGGUGUCAAGACGGAUGCAGGAACUUGAGGACUCGGUGCGUUGUAUGGUGGACCAUCCUGGUUUGGAGCCUGUGUGCCUAAAUGUGUUCUCCCUGCAGAAUGCAUUGAAUAUAUACAGAGCUGA